UACGUAGGGGGCUAGCGUUGUCCGGAUUUAUUGGGCGUAAAGAGCGUGUAGGCGGCCAGGUAGGUCCGGUGUGAAAACUCGAGGCUUAACCUCGAGAUGUCAUCGGAAACCAUCUGGCUAGAGUCCGGAAGAGGAGAGUGGAAUUCCUGGUGUAGCGGUGAAAUGCGCAGAUAUCAGGAAGAACACCCGUGGCGAAGGCGGUUCUCUGGGACGGUACUGACGCUGAGACGCGAAAGCGUGGGGAGCGAACAGG
rnacentral:rRNA from 1 species